rnacentral:rRNA from 1 species
GAAUUCCUACGGGAGGCAGCAGUGAGGAAUAUUGGUCAAUGGGCGAGAGCCUGAACCAGCCAAGUCGCGUGAGGGAAGACGGUCCUAUGGAUUGUAAACCUCUUUUGCCGGGGAGCAAAAAGCGGUACGUGUACCGCAUCGAGAGUACCCGGAGAAAAAGCAUCGGCUAACUCCGUGCCAGCAGCCGCGGUAAUACGGAGGAUGCGAGCGUUAUCCGGAUUUACUGGGUGUAAAGGGAGCGUAGACGGCUGUGCAAGUCUGAAGUGAAAGCCCAGGGCUCAACCCUGGGACUGCUUCGGAAACUG